rnacentral:rRNA from 1 species
AUACGUAGGUGGCGAGCGUUGUCCGGAUUUACUGGGUGUAAAGGGCGUGUAGGCGGGACAGCAAGUCAGGUGUGAAAUGCGGAGGCUCAACCUCCGAACUGCAUUUGAAACUGCUGUUCUUGAGUGAUGGAGAGGUAAGCGGAAUUCCCGGUGUAGCGGUAGAAUGCGUAGAUAUCGGGAGGAACACCAGUGGCGAAGGCGGCUUACUGGACAUUUACUGACGCUGAGGCGCGAAAGUGUGGGGAGCAAACAGGAUUAGAUACCCUGGUAGUCCACACUGUAAACGAUGGAUACUAGGUGUGGGGGGACUGACCCCUUCCGUGCCGGAGUUAACACAAUAAGUAUCCCACCUGGGGAGUACGGUCGCAAGAUUAAAACUCAAAUGAAUUGACGGGG